ACGUUUAAUAACCUCUACAACUGGAAGUCUUAACUGACCACCUUUCCUAACAGCAUCAUCACAUGAAAUCACUUGGUAGCAUUCUGAGCAAAGUGCAAUAAGGUCUCUGUUAGUAAAGAGGAUGCAGCGUAAGAACAAGCUACACUUAGAAGCUGAAAGGAAGCUGAAAGGAAGAAAGAAGAAUAUCACUGGAGCAGUCACUACAGUAGAAAAGACAUCUGAAAGGAAGAAACAUAGACUCAUAAACCCCUUCUGACUAAAGAAGACCUUAAGGUUUCCUAGCCCCAGUUCAUUUUCACAGCAGAAAGGUUAAAUUAUCAGACCAACUGCAUUAUAAGAGCAAGGUCACAGGUGUUCUAAUCCAAAUUGACAAAAUGAAUAGAACUAGAUCUCAGGGGGCAUUCAACUAAGAACUGUAGAGAAAUUCAAAGAACUGUGAAAACACUAUAGAUGCAAAAGGUCUCUCUGCCAGAGCAUUUUUGGAGUUAACAAAUCUCAGGGCC